ensembl:lncRNA
GAGUGCUUCUGAUCUUAAUUUGACACUUUUGCUGAACACAACAGUUGUGGGUAUUACUUCUAUUAUUUAUUUGUAAGUCACUUAUCUUUUGAAAGACUAUCAAUCUUACAAAUAUUCACUUCUGUCCUAUAGUACUGUAUAAAGACAGGAGUCGGGUGUCUGAAAAUUCAAACUUCCUCCUGAUACAUACACAGAACUGUGCGUGGCGCAGUGCCAGCCGUGUGUCUCUCUGCACUCAAUUCUACCUUUCUUUAUCCUAUUUACACGCUUUUGCCCUAUUUACAUUUAAAAAAUUUGCGCUACUCGCUUUACACGCGCUAACCGUGCUUGGUCGCGUUACACGCUUAUCCUUUACCUCUAACCCAGAGGGUGAGCACAUCCGGGAUGUAGGCUAAAUUGUAGGUCAAGAGUAGGCUAACGAGCUCAGACACUACUUCGAUUAUCUACUUCAGUUGCUACGCGGAAGGGUCAACCAUGCUCACCCCCCGUUUAGGAACUCUGGUCUGUUACGCAGUCCGUACUAAUCUCCCUCCUCCCUCUAAACCUAAUGUUUAGGUAGUCAGGCCUUUUACAGUACCUACUAAUGCUUUUUCUUAUUUAAAACUGACAAUUCACAAAGGCCUUGUGGGUUUUUGUAUCACUAUCCACCAUCCACUCACACUUGCUGCUUCCUUCAAGAUCCAAGAUGACAGACAAAAACUAACUAAUCAAUAUUCUAAGCUAUGGACAAUUCAAUGAAAUAGGUUUGUCCUCACCUUAUUUUUCUCGCAGGCCUGCUUUUUGUCUGCCGCCAAAGAUCUCGAAGCCCCACUCUGAGCCUCGUGCUCCAGGUGAGGGUUUGGUUGGUCCACCUCUCCUCAGUUCAGCGUCGGUGUCACCAAUUUGUUAGGAAAAAUACUCUGCGUGUUGUUUCGGAGAGGAACCACCAUACGAAGCAAUUUGUUGUAACAAGGUUGAGUUUUACUGGUAGGUAACGACACAAAACAACUUGCUCAAUAGACAGUCAAGUACAGUCAAGCAAGCCGGAGAAUG